rnacentral:rRNA from 1 species
UGCCGGCGACCGGCGGAGGGUCCGCGUAACGCGUAUGUAACCUACCUUUGACAGGGGGAUAACAUCGAGAAAUUGGUACUAAUACCCCAUAACAUCACCGGAGGCAUCUUCGGUGGUUGAAAACUCAGGUGGUCAGAGAUGGACAUGCGUUGUAUUAGCUAGUUGGUGAGGUAACGGCUCACCAAGGCGACGAUACAUAGGGGGACUGAGAGGUCAACCCCCCACAUUGGUACUGAGACACGGACCAAACUCCUACGGGAGGCAGCAG